rnacentral:rRNA from 1 species
CACAUGCAAGUCGAACGCUUCAGCAAUGAAGAGUGGCAGACGGGUGAGUAACGCGUGGGAACCUUCCCAGUGGUACGGAAUAGCCCAGGGAAACUUGGGGUAAUACCGUAUAAGCCCUUAGGGGGAAAGAUUUAUCGCCAUUGGAUGGGCCCGCGUCGGAUUAGCUUGUUGGUGAGGUAAAAGCUCACCAAGGCGACGAUCAGCCACACUGGGACUGAGACACGGCCCAGACUCCUACGGGAGGCAGCAGUGGGGAAUAUUGGACAAUGGGCGCAAGCCUGAUCCAGCCAUGCCGCGUGAGUGACGAAGGCCUUAGGGUUGUAAAGCUCUUUUGGCGGGGACGAUAAUGACGGUACCCGCAGAAUAAGCUCCGGCUAACUUCGUGCCAGCAGCCGCGGUAAUACGAAGGGAGCUAGCGUUGUUCGGAAUUACUGGGCGUAAAGCGCACGUAGGCGGAUUUGUUAGUCAGGGGUGAAAUCCCGGGGCCCAACCUCGGAACUGCCUUUGAUACUGCAAGUCUGGAGUCCGGAAGAGGUGGGUGGAAUUCCUAGUGUAGAGGUGAAAUUCGUAGAUAUUAGGAAGAACACCGGUGGCGAAGGCGGCCCACUGGUCCGGUACUGA